rnacentral:rRNA from 1 species
AGUGCAUGUGGUGGAUGCCUUGGCAGUCAGAGGCGAUGAAAGACGUGAUAGCCUGCGAAAAGCUCCGGGGAGGCGGCAAAUAUCCUUUGAUCCGGAGAUGUCUGAAUGGGGGAACCCACCUACUUUAAGGUAGGUAUUGCAACAUGAAUACAUAGUGUUGCAAGGCGAACGAGGGGAAGUGAAACAUCUCAGUACCCUUAGGAAAAGAAAUCAAUUGAGAUUCCCUCAGUAGCGGCGAGCGAACGGGGAUCAGCCCAUUAAGUUAUGUGUGUUUUAGUGGAACGCUCUGGGAAGUGCGAACGUAGAGGGUGAUAUUCCCGUACACGAAAGGGCACACAUAAUGAUGACGAGUAGGGCGAGGCACGUGAAACCUUGUCUGAAUAUGGGGGGACCAUCCUCCAAGGCUAAAUACUCCUGACUGACCGAUAGUGAACCAGUACCGUGAGGGAAAGGCGAAAAGAACCCCUGUGAGGGGAGUGAAAUAGAUCCUGAAACCGCAUGCAUACAAGCAGUGGGAGCACCUUCGUGGUGUGACUGCGUACCUUUUGUAUAAUGGGUCAGCGACUUAUAUUCAGUAGCGAGGUUAACCGUAUAGGGGAGCCGUAGAGAAAUCGAGUCUUAAUAGGGCGUUUAGUUGCUGGGUAUAGACCCGAAACCAGGCGAUCUAUCCAUGAGCAGGUUGAAGGUUGGGUAACACUAACUGGAGGACCGAACCCACUGUCGUUGAAAAGCCAGGGGAUGACUUGUGGAUAGGGGUGAAAGGCUAAUCAAGCCUGGUGAUAGCUGGUUCUCCCCGAAAGCUAUUUAGGUAGCGCCUCGGACGAAUACCAUAGGGGGUAGAGCACUGUUUCGGCUAGGGGGUCAUCCCGACUUACCAAACCGAUGCAAACUCCGAAUACCUAUGAGUACUAUCCGGGAGACAGACUGCGGGUGCUAACGUCCGUAGUCAAGAGGAAAACAAUCCAGACCGCCAGCUAAGGCCCCAAAAUCAUAGUUAAGUGGGAAACGAUGUGGGAAGGCAUAGACAGCUAGGAGGUUGGCUUAGAAGCAGCCACCCUUUAAAGAAAGCGUAAUAGCUCACUAGUCGAGUCGGCCUGCGCGGAAGAUGUAACGGGGCUAAAACUAUGUGCCGAAGCUGCGGAUGUAUACUUUGUAUACGUGGUAGGGGAGCGUUCUGUAAGCCGAUGAAGGUGUGUUGAGAAGCAUGCUGGAGGUAUCAGAAGUGCGAAUGCUGACGUGAGUAACGACAAAACGGGUGAAAAACCCGUUCGCCGAAAGACCAAGGGUUCCAGUCCAACGUUAAUCGGGGCUGGGUGAGUCGACCCCUAAGGCGAGGCCGAAAGGCGUAGUCGAUGGGAAAAUGGUUAAUAUUCCAUUACUUCUGUGUAAUGCGAUGAGAGGACGGAGAAGGCUAAAUCAGCCUGGCGUUGGUUGUCCAGGUGAAAGGAUGUAGGCAUGUAUCUUAGGCAAAUCCGGGGUACUCUAUGCUGAGAUCUGAUAGCAAGCUGUACUUGUACAGCGAAGUGGUUGAUGCCAUGCUUCCAGGAAAAGUCUCUAAGCUUCAGUUACACAGGAAUCGUACCCGAAACCGACACAGGUGGUCAGGUCGAGUAGACCAAGGCGCUUGAGAGAACUCUGCUGAAGGAACUAGGCAAAAUGGUACCGUAACUUCGGGAGAAGGUACGCUGUUGUUGGUGAUGGAACUCGCUUCCUGAGCUGACGACAGCCGCAGAAACCAGGCCGCUGCAACUGUUUAUUAAAAACAUAGCACUCUGCAAACACGAAAGUGGACGUAUAGGGUGUGAUGCCUGCCCGGUGCUGGAAGGUUAAUUGAUGGGGUUAGCGUAAGCGAAGCUCUUGAUCGAAGCCCCAGUAAACGGCGGCCGUAACUAUAACGGUCCUAAGGUAGCGAAAUUCCUUGUCGGGUAAGUUCCGACCUGCACGAAUGGCAUAAUGAUGGCGGCGCUGUCUCCAGCAGAGGCUCAGUGAAAUCGAAAUCGCUGUGAAGAUGCAGUGUACCCGCGGCUAGACGGAAAGACCCCGUGAACCUUUACUGCAGCUUGACACUGAACUUUGACCUUACUUGUGUAGGAUAGGUGGGAGGCUUUGAAGCUGGAACGCUAGUUCCAGUGGAGCCGUCCUUGAAAUACCACCCUGGUAAUGUUGAGGUUCUAACUCUGUCCCGUGAUCCGGGACGAGGACCGUGUCUGG